rnacentral:rRNA from 1 species
AUUGGACCUGAUAUCAGGUAAGAUUACCCGCUG